GUGUUUGCUUCCGCAGCACAUAUACUAAAAUUGGAACAGUACAGAGGUUAGCAUAGCUCCUGAGCAAGGAUGGCACACAGAGCUGUGAAGCACUCCAUAGUGAG
ensembl:snRNA Gm22675 U6 spliceosomal RNA